rnacentral:rRNA from 1 species
UCCUGGCUCAGAUUGAACGCUGGCGGCAUGCCUUACACAUGCAAGUCGAACGGCAGCACGGGAGCAAUCCUGGUGGCGAGUGGCGAACGGGUGAGUAAUAUAUCGGAACGUGCCCAGUCGUGGGGGAUAACGUAGAGAAAUUUACGCUAAUACCGCAUACGAUCUAAGGAUGAAAGCGGGGGACCUUUGGGCCUCGCGCGAUUGGAGCGGCUGAUAUCAGAUUAGGUUGUUGGUGAGGUAAAAGCUCACCAAGCCGACGAUCUGUAGCUGGUUUGAGAGAACGACCAGCCACACUGGGACUGAGACACGGCCCAGACUCCUACGGGAGGCAGCAGUGGGGAAUUUUGGACAAUGGGCGAAAGCYUGAUCCAGCAAUGCCGCGUGCAGGAAGAAGGCCUUCGGGUUGUAAACUGCUUUUG